GCCCUUAGAGUUUGAUCCUGGCUCAGAUUGAACGCUGGCGGCAGGCUUAACACAUGCAAGUCGAGCGGGGAAAGGUAGCUUGCUACCUGACCUAGCGGCGGACGGGUGAGUAAUGCUUAGGAAUCUGCCUAUUAGUGGGGGACAACAUUCCGAAAGGAAUGCUAAUACCGCAUACGCCCUACGGGGGAAAGCAGGGGAUCUUCGGACCUUGCGCUAAUAGAUGAGCCUAAGUCAGAUUAGCUAGUUGGUGGGGUAAAGGCCUACCAAGGCGACGAUCUGUAGCGGGUCUGAGAGGAUGAUCCGCCACACUGGGACUGAGACACGGCCCAGACUCCUACGGGAGGCAGCAGUGGGGAAUAUUGGACAAUGGGCGAAAGCCUGAUCCAGCCAUGCCGCGUGUGUGAAGAAGGCCUUUUGGUUGUAAAGCACUUUAAGCGAGGAGGAGGCUACUUAGAUUAAUACUCUAGGAUAGUGGACGUUACUCGCAGAAUAAGCACCGGCUAACUCUGUGCCAGCAGCCGCGGUAAUACAGAGGGUGCGAGCGUUAAUCGGAUUUACUGGGCGUAAAGCGUGCGUAGGCGGCUUUUUAAGUCGGAUGUGAAAUCCCUGAGCUUAACUCAAGGAAUUGCAUUCCAUAACUGGGGAAAGCUACAGUAUGGGGAGGAGGGAUGG
rnacentral:rRNA from 1 species